GAUGAACGCUGGCGGCGUGCCUAAUACAUGCAAGUCGAGCGAACAGACGAGGAGCUUGCUCCUCUGACGUUAGCGGCGGACGGGUGAGUAACACGUGGAUAACCUACCUAUAAGACUGGGAUAACUUCGGGAAACCGGAGCUAAUACCGGAUAAUAUAUUGAACCGCAUGGUUCAAUAGUGAAAGACGGUUUUGCUGUCACUUAUAGAUGGAUCCGCGCCGCAUUAGCUAGUUGGUAAGGUAACGGCUUACCAAGGCAACGAUGCGUAACCGACCUGAGAGGGUGAUCGGCCACACUGGAACUGAGACACGGUCCAGACUCCUACGGGAGGCAGCAGUAGGGAAUCUUCCGCAAUGGGCGAAAGCCUGACGGAGCAACGCCGCGUGAGUGAUGAAGGUCUUCGGAUCGUAAAGCUCUGUUAUUAGGGAAGAACAAAUGUGUAAGUAACUGUGCACGUCUUGACGGUACCGAGUCAGAAAGCCCCGGCUAACUACGUG
rnacentral:rRNA from 1 species